rnacentral:lncRNA from 1 species
GAAGUAACAAUCCACGCAUUAAUAAAGUUAAAAAAAGUUCGGAUGAUAAUUUCUUAAAUUCCAGGUUAGGAAAUUCUAGUUCGUAUGUAUGGAAAAGUAUUUGGGCAGCAAAGGACUUAAUGAAAAAAGGGCAUUGUUGGAGGGUGGGGACGGGUACUAAUAUUUGCAUAAGCGAUGCUUGGAUUCCAGAUUCUGUUAAUUUUAGAUUAUCAUCAGAUAUUAAUUUUUUGCGUGAUGUUAAAGUUGGCGAGUUGAUUGAUAAUAAUACCAGAAGUUGGAAAAAAGAGUUGAUUACUAGUACCUUCCUGGAAGACGACGCAGCUAGAAUCCUCAGAAUCCCUCUGGCACAAACACCGCAUGAUGAUUUUCUUAUCUGGGGAGGCGAAAGGUCGGGUGAGUUUACGGUCAGAAGUGUCUAUCAAUUAUUACAAAAAUUGACUGACAAUCCUAGAGCUUAUGCUUUACAGACCAUCUAUGGGAAUUUUUAUAAAAAACUAUGGUGCCUGAAUCUACCAGCUAAAAUUAAGGUUACAAUAUGGAAGCUAUCUUGGAAUUAUCUGCCUACAAAGGUGAAUCUUCAACAUCGGAAGUUAGUAGUAAAUCCGAGCUGUCCCCGAUGUGGAGAAGAAGCUGAAACAAUGAACCACUUAUUUCGUUACUGUCAUGUUACAAGGGAGGUAUGGAGAUCAUUAUCGUUUCAGUGCAUUUUAAGGAAUCAUUGUGAAGAUUUUGUACAGUGGAUUACCUGGGCAAUAGAGCAGCUCAACCUUGAUCAAAGUCGCGUAUUUUGUUGUGCACUCUCGGCAAUAUGGGGCGACAGAAACAAAAGAAUACAUGAAGGUAAAAUUAGAAAGGGGACGGAAGUUGCAAAUCUUAUAAUCAGUUACAUCAAAGAAAUUGAUAGUCUUGAGAAGAGAGAUCUGAACCGUGCCUUAGAGAAAAAGAGAUGGUCGCCACCACAGGAAAGUUUCAUGAAGAUCAACUUUGAUGGCGCAUACGAUAAAGGAAAGAAUCAGUCGGGUGUGGGUAUUGUGGCCAGAGAUUCGAAUGGUACUAUUCUUUUUUCAUACUCAGAGAUUCAUUUUGGUAUUCCAUCAGCCUUUGCUGCUGAAGCAAUUGCCUGCCGGAAAGGCGUUCAAAUGGGAAUCAGGAGGGGAUGGCGACAUUUGAUCCUUGAAGGAGACUCCCUCACAAUAGUCAAAAAAUGUAAAUCGAAGAGUCAAGAUAGAUCUAUGGUGGGAGUAUACAUUUUUGACAUUCAACAGGAAAUCUAUGGACUUGAAAACAUCAGAUUUCAGUAUAUACCUAGAUCCGCAAAUGGUCUUGCUCAUAUCAUAGCAACAGAAUCAUUGAGAAGAGGAGAAGAGUUUUACCUGGAUAGGGGAGUUCCAGAUUAUGCCAUGGAUCAAGCUCGGCUGGAUGGGAGAAGUGAAGAAGAAGUCUCCAGAGAAGAAAAAUGACGAAUGAAAGGCUUUGAACAAGAAAAUGAAACGGACUGAUUUCUUUUGGCUUACCUUGGAAAUGAAAUCGUCAUUAUGAAAGGAGAUGACAGAAAAGACUGAAGACGGUUUCCCACGCUUCUUCUGAUUGGGCAAUGGGUCGGUGCUUUAAUGACCGAUUCUAGAACAUUCAUUAUAAAUAUCUAGAUUUUAUUUUGGUUAAGGCCAUCUGAUUUGGGCCGUGUUGGGUUUUAGG